rnacentral:rRNA from 1 species
AUGAUGAACCCGGAGAUGAUGCGGCUGGCGGAGGAGCAGGUGCGGCGCAUGUCCCCGGACGACCUGGCCAGGAUGCAGCGGCAGCUCGCGUCCAACCCCGACCUGGUGAAGCUAGCAUCCGAGAGCAUGAUAAACAUGACGGCGCACGACUUCAAAAUAGCAUCUCAGCAGCUGAACAAAACUAGUCCAGAGGAGAUGCUUUGCAUGGCCGAAAAGAUCGCCACCGCUAAGCCCGAGGAGUUCGCCGCCAUGAAGGCCCAAGCUGACGCUCACAUCUCACACGCCAUAUCCGGUGCCAAGGCCCUGAAGCAGCAGGGGAACGAGCUUCACAGCCGUGGGCGGUACGCCGAGGCUGCUGCCAAGUACGACCUCGCCAAGGAUAGCUUGCAGAACGUGCCGUCGGCAGCUGCGCACACAUUAAGGGUGCAGUGCAGCCUUAAUCGCAUGUCCUGUUACCUGAAAUCGGGCAGGUUCGAGGAUUGCGUUCGCAUCGUCAAGGCGUACUACCGGAGGGGCCAAGCGUACAGGGGACUGGGGAACCUACAGGCUGCCGUCGCUGACUUGAGUAAAGCUCAUGAAAUCUCUCCCGAGGAUGAAACCAUUGCUGAGGUACUGAGAGAAACACAGGGAAAACUUGCAGCUGAAGGAAAUAUGCCAAAAGGAUUUGUUAUUGAAGAGGUUGUAGAAGAACUUCCAAAAGGAGUUGUUAUUCAAGAGAUUGUAGAAGAACUUCCAACCUUCCAGCCUCCGUCUUUGCAAAAUGUUGCAGAGAACCAUGAUGAAAUUGUAGUAAACAACCAGUCGCCAUCUAGUUCCCCACCUUCUAUAGCUGAUAUGCAAGAAGCCGUGAGAAAAUCCAUGGAAGACCCAGCUAUGCGGCAGAUGUUUGUGUCCAUGAUGGAGAACAUGAGUCCUGAUGUGAUGGCAGACCUGAGUCAGAAGUUCGGCAUGAAGGUCUCCAAGGAGGAUGCGGCCAAAGCGCAACAAGCUAUGUCUUCAUUAUCUCCAGAAGGUCUAGAAAGAAUGAUGCGAUGGAUGGGCAGAGCACAGCGAGGAGUAGAAGUAGCAACCAAGACAAAGAACUGGCUCCUAGCCAGGAAGGGCUUGAUCAUUGCCAUUGUCAUGCUGAUCUUGGCCUUGAUCCUCCUGCGUCUUGGAUUCAGUGUCAAAUCCAUGUUAUGGGUGUGUAGUCAAUUAACUACAUGGCUUUUCGCCAGAACCAAUAAAUACAAGUGA